GUGCCAGCAGCCGCGGUAAUACGGAGGGUGCAAGCGUUAUCCGGAUUCACUGGGUUUAAAGGGUGCGUAGGAGGGCAGGUAAGUCAGUGGUGAAAUCUCCGAGCUUAACUCGGAAACUGCCGUUGAUACUAUCUGUCUUGAAUAUUGUGGAGGUGAGCGGAACAUGUCAUGUAGCGGUGAAAUGCUUAGAUAUGACAUAGAACACCAAUUGCGAAGGCAGCUCGCUACACAUAUAUUGACUCUGAGGCACGAAAGCGUGGGGAUCAAACAGGAUUAGAUACCCUCGUAGUCC
rnacentral:rRNA from 1 species